AAUAUAUUUAUACAGAUGUUAAAGAGAUUAACAGCAUUUCAUCAAUCUGUGUAACAGCUUAAAAAAUAGAAGAGAUAAAGACUCUUUAAUAAUACCAGUAUAGUGGGGCAUUUAAAAACCUGUAAUCUUUCAUUUUAACUUCAGUCCUUUCAUUGUUUCUCUCCUGAUUGCAGCUGGAGCCCUUCAGUGUCAAACCUGCACAGAUCAGACAUGUUCAACCACAGUAGCAAAUACAUGUUCUUCAGAGACCAUGUGUGUUACAGCUACUAUUUUAGCUACCUCAUCUGGAACUACGGCAACACAAAUCUACAAGGCAUGUGCAUCUUCCUCCCUGUGUCCAACUACGGGCUCUCAGACAUUUGCAGUUGACCUGGGUGUUCAAAGUGCUCUUGCAUCUGUCACGUGCUGCAACACGGAUAACUGCAACUCAGCAACUCUGGCUGCCCCUACUCCUCAGUCAAGUAACGGCCUACUAUGUAACUAUUGUUCCACCUCUCAGUGCAACACACCAUUGCAAUGUCAGGGAGUGGAGGACCAAUGUUUUCAAUCAAUAA